rnacentral:rRNA from 1 species
UACGUAGGGUGCGAGCGUUGUCCGGAAUUAUUGGGCGUAAAGAGCUCGUAGGCGGCUUGUCACGUCGGUUGUGAAAGCCCGGGGCUUAACCCCGGGUCUGCAGUCGAUACGGGCAGGCUAGAGUUCGGUAGGGGAGAUCGGAAUUCCUGGUGUAGCGGUGAAAUGCGCAGAUAUCAGGAGGAACACCGGUGGCGAAGGCAGCGAACUGGCGCUUUAUCGACGCUCAUGCACGAAAGCAUGGGGAUCAAACAGG